UAGUAACUGCGAGUGAAGCGGGAAAAGCUCAAAUUUAAAAUCUGGCGGUCUUUGGCCGUCCGAGUUGUAAUCUAGAGAAGUAAUGCCCGUGCUGGACCGUGUAUAAGUCUCCUGGGAUGGGGCGUCAUAGAGGGUGAGAAUCCCGUCUUUGACACGGACUACCAGUGCAUUGUGGUAUGCUCUCAAAGAGUCGAGUUGUUUGGGAAUGCAGCUCAAAAUGGGUGGUAAAUUCCAUCUAAAGCUAAAUAUUGGCGAGAGACCGAUAGCGAACAAGUACCGUGAGGGAAAGAUGAAAAGAACUUUGGAAAGAGAGUUAAACAGUACGUGAAAUUGCUGAAAGGGAAACGCUUGAAGUCAGUCGCGUUGGCCGGGGAUCAGCCUUGCUUUUGCAUGGUGUACUUUCUGGUUGACGGGUCAGCAUCAAUUUUGACCGCUGGAAAAGGGCCUGGGGAAUGUGGCAGCUUCGGCUGUGUUAUAGCCUCUGGUCACAUACGGCGGUUGGGAUUGAGGAACUCAGCACGCCGCAAGGCCGGGUUUCGACCACGUUCGUGCUUAGGAUGCUGGCAUAAUGGCUUUAAGCGACCCGUCUUGAAACACGGACCAAGGAGUCUAACAUGCCUGCGAGUAUUUGGGUGAAAAACCCGAGUGCGUAAUGAAAGUGAAAGUUGAGAUCCCUGUCAUGGGGAGCAUCGCACGCCCGGACCAGAACUUUUGGGACGGAUCCGCGGUGGAGCAUGUAUGUUGUGACCCGAAAGAUGGUGAACUAUGCCUGAAUAGGGUGAAGCAGAGGAAACUCUGGUCGAGGCUCGUAGCGAUUCUGACGUGCAGAUCGCAUCGUCAAA
rnacentral:rRNA from 1 species